CUCCACCACCCCCAGACUUUCCAGUGAUUAACGAGGCCACCAUCUCUGGGGCCUUUCCAUAUAUUCUGGGGACUUUCCUGUCCAGCCUCCCCCACCGGACACUGUCCUUUACUGCUACUUCCUUUUCAGAACACAGAUACAGCAUUGGAGAGAGAGGGCAGCCACACUUGAGUGAAGAGGAAGCCGCAUGAGAAUGAGAGAUACAAUUUAAAGAUGGUGGAGCCCAAGAA
rnacentral:lncRNA from 1 species